UACGUAGGGUGCGAGCGUUGUCCGGAAUUAUUGGGCGUAAAGAGCGUGUAGGCGGCUUGGUAAGUCCGCUGUGAAAGUCCAGGGCUCAACCCUGGAAAGCCGGUGGAAACUGUCAAGCUUGAGUCCGGAAGAGGCGAGUGGAAUUCCUGGUGUAGCGGUGAAAUGCGCAGAUAUCGGGAAGAACACCCGUGGCGAAGGCGGCACUCUGGGACGGUACUGACGCUGAGACGCGAAAGCGUGGGGAGCGAACAGG
rnacentral:rRNA from 1 species